AGGCACUUUACAGGUAAAGAAACUGAGUCUUAGAGAAGUUAAAUAAUUUGUAGAGGGUUAUUCAGCUAUACAAGGAUGAGGCCAGGAUGUUAACUAGGUCUGUUGAACCAUAAAAACUUCUAUUACUCUCAUGCUGCUUCUGUAUAUAAAAUUGAAGUGGGCCAUUCAUUCUGCUUCACCCAAACACCCAUAUAUUCUGUAAGGCAGGCUUACUUUGAAAUUACAUGUGCCAUUCAUUUGUACUUUUCUUUUUUAUCUACUCUUUUCUCACCAAGUGUCCAGCUGCCUCAAAGUUUUUAAUGAUGGCUGAUGCAGAAGUAUGUAGUGCUGAAUUUGGCCCUUAGACUGUAAAAUUAAAAAGUGUUUCCAUCCCACUCACACAUCCUACAAAUUUCCUUAUAUUUGUGGGUUAUAGCCAUCACUUAAACAGUGUUUUUUAUAUUUAAUUUAAAAAUAAACUCUAAUAUUUUUUAAAACAAAUCUGUCAUAACUCAUAGAAUUAAAUGAUUAUUAUCCUUUAAAAUGGUCCCCUUGGGAAGCCAUGCACUUACUGCAGUGACGCUAGUAUUACUUAGAACUUUUUUGAAACUUUUCUUUUGGAAUUACCUCCAAAGACAUUUUACAAACCACAUAAAUAAGCCAUCUCAGUGUUUAAUAGUCACAGACUAGACUCCCUCGUCCUCAUGACCUCUCCUCUCUUCCUUCCUCAGUUUUGCUUUUGUUCUGCUGGCUUAGCUCUCCUACCCGUCUAUGCUGGAGCCUGUAACCUAAGGAUUCCCAGAAAGGGGGGUGCUGGCCAGAGUGCCUGGAGCAAGAACGUUAGGUUAUACUGAAGCUGAGUGCUGUAAAGGGAGAAUCCUCUGAAUCCAAAACCUUCCUCUGUGGGCUGUCUGCCUGUAAGUGCCGUAAGUAGUUUGCACAGGAGUAAGGACUGAAUACCAGUAAUAUCAAUCAUGAGAAGCUGAGGAAACCUGAAAUAUAAAUAUUCAGUGUACAGCAUUUUUCUCCAGUAAACGUACAGAAACCAAACCAAACCAUGCUUUGUGUUAACUUGAAAACUGAAAGGUCUUUCUCAGGGUCCCCUUUGCCCUUCUUUGCUGCCACAUGAAAUCUUUGGGAGGAAGGAUGAAGAAAAAGCCUGAGAAAAAGGUUCUCCUGUGAAAUGGGACAUUUUCUUCUCUUGUGAUAAAGUAUACUGUGGCUGUGGCUCUCAGGUGCUUAUGUUAGACAAUGUUCUUAAGUAGUCAGAGGCCUAAUAAAAGGUCGGGAAGCUUCCCCAUUAGCCUAAAUUAAUGUCAACAGUUCAGGUUAUGUUGUGUUUUUAGUAACACUUCAUUUUGUUUCUAACAAGUGGUAACUCACUAUUUAUAUUCAUUAAUUUUACACUGUUUUACAGAGAAACUUUUUGGGUAUUAUAAACAAUCAAUGGUAAAAUUAGAUCCACAUAUUAUCCACAUCACUGCCCUCAAAGAAAUUGUUUGUUGUGGGAGACAAGAACUCCAUCUGUGCAAUAUUAACAAAAGAAAUAAAUUGAAAUAAAAAGUAAAAGAUGUCAAAGGCAAAUGAUUUGCCCAAGAUCAAAGCUACUUAGCACAAAAGCUAGAAGUAUAACCAUAGUUUAAGAAAAAAAUCCUCAAAGUAAUUUAACUGAAUUUUUGUUAUGCCAUAUCAGGUUGCCUGCGGAGGCUGUGGUCUUUCAGAUCAGCUAAACAUUCCAAAUCAGGCAAUAGCCAUAGUGGAAAGAAUUGGAUGGGGAACCAAGAUAUCAGAGUUCUAGUUCUGGCUUUGUCUCCUGUAGUAAGCUUUUUCUCAGGGGUGGCUGCCUUCUUCCAUUCCAGCCAGGGAUUCCCCCACCAUAAACCUUAGUGGUCACCAACUGGACACUCUUCAUUCUUUAAUCUAGCCUCUCACAGGGUCCUGUCAGUUCUUUAAAUGUUGGUUGUAUCCAUUUCUAAAUAUAUUAUGGUCAUCACUCUAGUAAAAGACUAUUACCUCACACUCCCUACCUCAUCUUCCCCAAGUUUAAGCCAUUCCUCACAUCACUGCCACAAGAAUGAGAACCAGGUCCAUCUUGCAUUUUUCUGCUGAAAUGUUUUCGGUGGCUCCCAUUGAAUACCUGAUAAAGUGCACAUCCCUUAGGUUGGCAUUCACAGCCUUCCAUAUUCUGGCCCCAGCUUUAUUUCUUCAAGCUCACUGCUCACCAUCUGACGGUGCCACUGAAAUCAUUCCACAAGAAUGAUUUUAAGGUUUUUCUAUGGUGAAAUACAAAUUGGUAGUAAACUAUGUUUACAUUUUUCCAGUCUAAAAUUUCUGUGAUACUACAUUUUACAAAACUAGUCAACUGAGAUUUGUUUAAGCUCUUGAAUAAGCCUAAAAGUUGUUUCCUAAGGAAAAGAAAUCUUUUGUGCCCCCCAGAAGAAAUUACAUGCAGUUUCUUAACCUCCAAAACAAUGUCAGUCUUGUCACCUGUGCAUCCUGUAGCCAAAGCAUGAGGAUUUUUCUUCAGCAGCAGACACUCCAGCCUUGAAUGAACCAUUGUCCAGCUCCUGUGAGAAACUUGACUAAAAUAUUUCAGAGAACCCUCAAGAGUACAUGUUAUCCAUAUAUUUCUCAAGUACUUGAGAUUUUCUUACAUUAAGGUUAAUCACUAAGAAGAUGUUUACCUGGUUCCAUUAAUUUAAUCCCCUAAAAGUGUUUUCCCUUCUAUUGUUAAACCCUUGGUGUUGGUAAGGGUCAGCACAAGAAAAGGCCCAACAGUGAGAAUUGCUACAAAUUCUGUAAAGCUUACUGAAUUUGUUUUUUAUGUUGCUGAGUGGUGCUUGUAUAAAGAAACAUGCAAUAAAUUCACUCAUUCAACAAACAUUUAACUGAACAAAUGCCUGUUGUGUUGAGCGCCAGGGCCAUACGUAGAAAAAUGUUAGACCUAUAGAAUCUGCCCUUGUAAACUAUUCAGGCUAAUGGAUUCAGAUAUCUAAAGCAAGUAAAUCACAGUAAAAUACGGUAAGUACCCUACAAGAGGAAGGAACAAAGUAAUACGAGGGCAGAGACUGGAGUGACUAGCUUGCCUGGAGAAGAAGAGGAAGGCUUUGUGGAACGUGUGGUAUGUGAGCAGUACCCUAAAGAAGAAUAUGCCUGACUGAAGACAGUUGUGGGCUUUCAAGUAGCAGAGGAAUUGCAUGUACAAAGAGUUCAAAACAGGAAAGAGCAGAGUGUGCUUAGAGAAAGCAAACGAAUUAAAUGCUGUGAGUGACAAAGCUGAUUAGAUGGAAAUACAGACUAAAGUGGUUAUAUAUUUUUUUAAUUUAAUGAUUCUUUGUUUGAAGGAAUUAAUGUAUUGCUUGGUAUCAGAUAAGACUGUUAUAACUCUCUGAGUUCUUCAUUUUGCCUUCAUUGCCGGGAAAGUUAGUAAUAAACCUCACAUUUGCCUGGGCUCUUGGUAUAUUUGGCAUAUUUGCUUUCCUUUCCCACAUGUAAGAAAUGAUUUGUGCUUUCUUGCCUCUCUGCUGUGAGAUGCCCUGCUUAAAAUUGAAUGCCUGCUUUCUUCCUGUCCUGCUAUUCAUUCCAUAAAUAUUUAUUGAAACCUACUGAGAAAAUAGUCAUGAAAUUUACCUUUUAGUGUACAAGACCUUCAUGGACCUGUUUUCCAUCUCUACAUGAAUAUUUCCUGGCCACUGCAAUUCAGUGGCUCCCAUUUUCACUUGUGGCUAAUUCUGCAAUGUUUUACAACUUCAUAGGUAUAAAAUUCUUUGAUUCAUGGUGGUGUGAUCUCCUCAACUAGAUUGUAAGCUUCUUUCAGGGCAGGGACCAUAUCAUCUGCUUCUUGGAGUAUUUCAUGGCAUGAUAUGGUGAUGAGAAGAGGGAGAGAAACGAGACCCCGUUAGUGACUCCCAGAUGAUGAGUGAUGGGGUCAUGGUAUGUGCGUCCUGCCGUCCUUCAGGGAUAUGUAUUGAAAUGUGAAAAAGCUUUCUAAGACAUACCAAACUUUUGCUCGGUACUCAUGUUUCUAUAUUAACAUAGGAAUGAAUGAAGCAACAGAAGAAAUCUGGAAAACAUCUCUAGGACUUGGAAGUCAUGAAUUGAGAAUUUCAGAAUUUGGAGGUAAAGAUAUUUCUACCUGUUUUUCUAGUGCAAAGUCAUGACUUGGAAGAGAGAGGAUAUAGGACCUGAAUCACUGAAGAAAUGACUGGCCCUGGGCUAACAUCCAUGCCCAUCUUCCUCUACUUCAUAUGGGACGCCACCAGAGCAUGGCUCGAGAAGCGGUGCAUCAGUGCGCACCCAGGAUCCAAACCUGCGAACCCUGGGCCACGGAAGCGGAGCGCGCACACUUACCCACUUGUGCCACCGGCUGGUGCGGAAAAUUGUUUAUCUUCUGUCUUACCAUAGGAUUGGUGGGGUUGGAAUAGUAGGGACGCAAGAGGGAUUUAUUAUCCAUUGACCUAGUAUUGAAACAGAGUAGCAGCAGGAGUUUAAUUGCUCCGUCAGGCAAGCAGAGAUUGGAAUGAGCCAAGGGCAGCGCUGAAGUGAGGAGGUGAGCAUCUGGUACGAUUUGAACCAAGGUCUCUAAUACUCUAAUACAGUUCAUAUACUGAUUCCACCAGACAGCCUCUCAGUGAGUUGAUAGGAAUGAAAAGGAAUAAAGUGCUUGGCACUUACUAAUUCUCUAUGGACCUUGGUUCCCUUUCUUUCUUCUGUAAGUUUUAUUGUUCAUAACAGAUUGCUGCCUCUUAUCUGGGUAAGACUUCCUCAGCCCUCCCCCUCCCUGUUGAUACCUUGCCUAUCUUACAGGGUGGUCAUGAAGAUUAAAAGAACUAAGACAUGUUAAGUGCCUAGCCUGGCUCAGUAGCUGUAUAAAUGUUAGUUGCUACUAUUAUUAUUGUAAUUGUUACUAUUAUUAUUUUUUCCCAAAGUUUAAAGGAAAGGCACAUUAAUGGGAAAGUAUCAUGUACCUACAAGAAUAGUGUUAGGAAGACACCUAAAAUGAGUAGAGACUUGAUAAAAGUACCAAGAAUUCUUAAAAUGACUUUUUAAAGAGGCUUAGUUAUUAAGAAGGUGGUAUAAUGAUGACAGAUGCCUAGUAAAUCUUUUUCAUCUCUGUUAAGAAUGAUAUCGAAACAUGAAAAUGCGUAAGAUCUGGUUAGGAGUAGCGUGAUCACACAUCCCAGUCUGUCUGCGACAGUCUUGAUUUAUAUCUCGUCUUGAUGAAAUAUUACUAAUGCUCCCUUUCAAUUGUCUUGGUUUGGGUGAAAAAAAAUUAUAUGGUCAUCCUAGUUAUAAGGGCAAUGAAAAUAAGUGUGGAGUUACAAAAAAAAAAAAAACUGUGUUUGAAAAGAAUUUAUCAUUUCUAGGCUCCGAUGAAAAAGCAUCCAAAAGUUAGUGGGAACUUAUAGAUGUGAUUGUAAAGUACUACCAGUAAUUUUUGAGGGACCAGAAAACAGAAAAGGUGUCAGAACAGUGAGCCUGGGAAAAACUCUAAAAUUUAAGGGAGUAUAUUUGGAUUCCGGAAGCCACAGACCAGGGACUUUACCUUGUAAUUCUAAAAAAUUUCUGAAAUGGACUGUUAAACAAUGUUUUAAGUCAGAAAGCCAUGCUCAUUAUGAAGACAUGAAGAAUGAUGAAUUUAGAAGAAUUAAUAAGUCAGAAUAGAUGCCCUGUUCUAUCUCCCUCACUGUGUGCAUAGCCAGGGAUGCCCUGCUCAUUGCCCCUCUUGGACAAUGCUUAGGGCAGGAAAACAAUCAUAGUAUUAAGCUUUCAAGAUUGAUCUGAUUCUACCUAGGCAAGUUUACACAUGUCAUCAGGAGAGCAGGCAUACAGGCACCCAUACCAAUAUGUAAAACACGAGACACAGCACAGACAGGCACGUACGUGAUCUUUCACCUCAGUGGCCAAGUUGGGAGAGAAACAAGAGGGCCGCAAUACCUAGCAAUACUUUGCUAUUACAGUAAAUACUAAUAGAGAAUAAUGACAGCCUCUAUUAACAUAAUUCCCUUGGGAGGGAGAAGGAGCCUGAUGUGUUUAGGAAAGUAUAGCUCUUUCUGUUCCUAGCCAAGAAACCACUUCCUGGAGGAAGACUGCCCUGACCCCCAAAGCUGUACACACACCUUCACGGCCCUGUGGUUAACUCACAGCAUAGCACGUACAACCUUCUGUUAUAAUCAUCUGUUUACUCAUCUGUUUUGCUCCUUCACUCAACUUUCAGCUCCAUGAUGAUAGGGGCAGUCUUGUUCACGGUUGUAUCCAUAGCCUGGCAACAGCAGAUAAUAAAUGCUUGCUGACUGGUAAUUGUAUGAUGUUUUGUAAACCACAUAUGGUAUUCUGUCAACUCACUAGAGUCUCUCCUUCCAAAAGGCUGGGUGACUAAGCUAGGGGUCAGAUCUACCUCACAAAAAAGGUGCAUCGUUCAUGAGCAAGUUACCAGCACCUCUGUAGGACUCUGCAUGGCCCAAGGGGGCACUUAAGUGUCAUUUUGAUAGUUAGGUAUCUCUGGGUCGGUGUAAGAUCUAUUCUAGACUAAAACUCUUAGGACCCCAAAGCCAAUUUAGGAUAUAGGAAUAAAGGUGACUAGACAUCAGAUAAUUGGGAUUCACGGAUGAGCCAGCAGUCCAUUCCAGUUGUGGUGAUGCUUUCUUGUUCUUUAUUCAUUUGUUCAUUUAUUUAGUAUGUAAUGGGGCUUUUUUUAAAUCAGAGAUUUAUUGAUCACCUGCAGUGCUCUAGGUUGCUGGGAAUAUGCUUCCAGGGCAUUCACGUGGUGAUAAGGAAAAGGGACAAAUGUACUUCCAACUUUGUAUUAGACUGGGUACUCUAAACACAUAAAUAAAGGGCUGUGGGGCCACAGGGGAUGAUAACUGUCCUGGGCAUUGAAGACUGGAUGGCAGGAAUUUACUAGCCAAGGCAGGGGAGAGGGAGGAGAGCGGCAUCUCAGAGAAGCAAUUUGUAAGCGACACUUUUCCUCUUCAAGGGACUCCAAAACCUAUUGUGUAAGGGCAAGCCAGCCCUUCUCCAGUGUGCUCUGCAGGAGGGAGCUGUGACCCUUCAACUGAAGGCUAGGUUUGAGUUAUCAGCACAUGGAUUCAUAUAGCUCCCCAUUCUGAUUCAAGUACAAUUAAUCUAAAAAAUAACUUUAAAACUUGAAAAACUUGUGACUCUGGUCAUCUGGAUUCUGAGUAAAAUUUUCACAAAUAUGAUAUUAUGACAAAUUGAAUUAGUAACAAGUCUCAAAUAGAAAUAUUUUAUAAAUAUAGUUUUAUUACUUGCAAAUACAUACAAAAAUGUAAACACAGCUAAAAAACAAUUGCCAAGCAGAAGUCCUAUCCAACCUGUUUUAAGGAACACAUAAAAGUUAUAAUCAGCAUAAAACAAUUUAAAUCCUGAAACAACAUAUUUGGGGGUUGGAAAGUCUUCAGGGUCUUUAAAUAUCGGGCUUAAAAAUUGGUUAUUGUUUUAUUCUUUAUACCUAUUUAAAUUCUUCCCCCCAAAUACAGACCACUAAUGUUUCAGUUUGGUUCAUGAGAUGUUUUAUUUAGAAAAAUAGCUAAAGCCAUAUAACUAUAAUUAUUUUGAAAACUGGAAUACCUUUUGUCCAUUUCCAGUCUUCUGUCACCCUACAUUCUCCAUGGUUUCUCAAAAAUUCCCAGUAGUUGCUAACAAAGUAUUUGCAACUUCCAGCAGCUCUCUGGGAUACCGAAGUUUGGGCCUAAGAGCCCUGAAAUUAUUUAAGGUGGCCAGAGUUUUUUUACUUCUCAUUUUUGUGGUUUUAUGUCAUUUUAUUCUUGUCCGUCCAGACUAUGUCUCCUUGUCAGAGAAAAAAUGGAGUUAUUCUGCUUUUCCUGUUAACCCAUUACACUGCUUUACCCAUUCUUUUUGCCCUCGGGGUUUCUUUUAAAGCCUUUUUGGCAACUUUAGCAUUUUAUGCAAAUUUAAGCUCAUUUUGAGCUUCAACAUCUCAAACACUUUUAUAUUUCUCUCCUCUUUUUGGCCUUUUCAUGCACGUUUUUCCUUCUUUUGUACAUGAUCUGUGACAACUUGACUUCAUCAGAGCUCUCUCUGAGAUGCUCUAAAUGCCUAUUUCUCUAUCUUCCUCUCUAGGUUCAUUUAACUUUUAAAAAAUGUUCAGAAUUUCAUCUAAAGAAAGUUUUCCUCCUCUUAUGGUCCCCUCAGUACUGGAACAAUUUUUGAAAAACUAGAAAAGGUAGCGGGCUGACAAGCAGAAGGGCCUGCUUCUGGUUUUGGUUUUGUCACUCAACCGUGCUCUUCACUCUAUCUUGCAUCCCCUCUCUCCACAGCUGACGAGCCUGAGGCCCAGAGUAGAUUGGAUAAAAUGAGAAGACCUCCACCUGUAAUAGUCUCUGAUUCAUGGUUCAGACAGGAAGAAGUCUCAAUUGUGAGUUCUAGAUUCCUGGAAGUUCUCUCUGUACAUCCAGCUGGUCGCAAAUCCCCAUGGAAUCUACAUCUUGGCCAUCUCUUGUGUCUGUUCUCCAUCUCUGCUGUCACUGUCUUAGUUCUGGCCAUUCUCUCUCCUCUGCUGGACUCAUUUUAUCAUACUUAGACCUGCGGCCACAGUAUUCUUUCUCAAAUUUAAAUAUGAACGUACUUCCCUGCUUAAAAUCUGUUGAUGGAUCUUCGCUGCCUGUAAGAUACAGUACAUAUCCCUUAGCUUGGCAUACAAAGCCCUGCACAAUCAGCUCUCAUUUCUUUCUCCAACUUCCUUUUUUCCUAGCCACAGGCCGUCCCCACCCCACCCCCCCAUGCACUAGCCCUAUGGCAAGAACUUGUUCUCUCUAAUGCAUGUUGCUGUUUUGCACUUGAGCUUGUUAAUGACUUUUUAUGAAAUUGGGCACCAAGUUCUGAAUGAGUGCUGAGCCCUUCGGAUUACAGAAAUUACCUAAGGUCACUUUGCAUCUCUCAUUCAUUCAAUAAACAUUUGAUGAUGACUUCUAAGUGUCCAGAAAUGCUAGACACUGGAGAUACAGACAUAAAAUUCAGUAUUCUUGCCCUCAAUGGCUUCACAGUCUAGAGAAGACAGCGACAGUGGCAGGGCUAGAGCCUAAAUCCCCACGUGCAUGAAUGCUAAAUAAUGCAGCCUCAAAUCCACUCCCUUUUUUAACAGCCACUCAGUUAUGUUAGAUCACAUUGAUCAUGUGCUCCUUGAGGCCUUUUUCAUAAUAGCUACUCUCAAGCCAGCCCUCUGCAACCCAAUACUUGAGUGUUAUUAUUUUUUAAAGCCAAUUACAAGAUUACAAGUUUAUUCCAGUUAAUUGUAUGUGCUGCUUUUGAUUUGGUGUGCUAGCUUGUUGAAUGUUUGUGAAUUUUCAUUCUGACCACCUCAGGUUUGGUCCAUCCUCUGAUCUGAAGACUACAACUCUGAUUUCAAAGUUGUUGAUUAAAAGCAAUGACGAGAACAGAACUAAGGCCCAACCUUUAGGAAGCUCUGUGCUUUUCUAGUUAAUCUGGUAAAAUAUACUAAACAUGCCCCUUAUCACCUUACUAUUAACAACAUUUAUUACUGUGAAUGUAAUGGUGGAUAAGUCAUGCAUAACUAAGAAAUCUAGGCUGCUUUUUAAAAAUAACAAUCAUUAAAUAUCUAUUAUAAAUAUUCACUUUAUUUUAAAAGAAUUGGAAGAUGUUACAUAUAUUACAUACUACAUAUAAUGGCACAUGUCAGCCUUUUAAGAUUAAAAAUAAUCUUUCCCCAAACUGGGGCUGACUUAGACUCGACUCCAAGUAUAAAAUGACUCUUGGCCUAUAGCACCAACCCAGGCCCAGAGGAAGGCCAAUUUUGAACCUGUCUGUCCUCUGGCAUUGGGCUUCCUGAUAUGAUACUGAGGGUCUUCACCCUCCGGUUUUGUUCCCUGGCAGUACUGAGGCCUGACACAGGGACCCAUUUGACUGUACACUGCAGGCCUGGGAUAUCAGGGAAUCUAGAGGGGGAAGGGGCCUCUAACAAUUUUACAAUGGAAAAAAACUAAAAAUGUAUGUAUGUGCCUUAUUGUCUUAGUUUUUGAUCUGUACAACUAUAACAAGACUCGACAAGAUAGAAGAAGGUUAGAAUUAUUGAAAUACAAUUGCUCUGCUGGUUUUUCUCUUUGGAAAUCGAAGUGUCAUGAUAGGAAGAGCCUUAAAAGUCAGUUCAAUACUGGUAACCUGCUCCACUAGUAUCUCCCUUUCCCAGAUUUAGGUAUAAUUCAAAGUUUUAAAUGCCAUCCAUAUGCCACUUUGUUAGACAAACACAGAGAAAUUUAAUAACACUUUUCAUUCUCUUUUUCCUAAAUCAUAAGGACAAUUCCUGCCAAAUGUUCUGGCUUAUGGCUCUCCUCCUCUUCAUAGUAUGUUUAAGUUACACAUUAAGAAUCCAAAAAAUACCACUAUGGAAUUUUCAUAAGCAAUAUCCGACCAGUCAGUAAAACACAGUACACAGUGUGAAAAUUUUAAUUUAUUCCCCUCCCAAGUAUCCAGAAUAUAUACCCCCUUAGUUUUGAGAAAUGUGAUAAUGAAAAUACCAACAGAAUUGAUCAUAUGUAAAGAAAAGAAAGAAAAGCACAUACUACACAGGAAACGUCCCUAAGUCCUCCCUAACCUAGUAGUGCAAGUUAAUGUUAUGUUUCUGGCAAUGUCACCUUUCACUUGAUUUAUAAAAAUUUUACAGGACAGAUUUAAAGCAAAGAUAGGCCUCUGAUUUUUAUUUGUUUUUAACCCUAGCAGAUUUUUAAAAAGAGGCUAUAUUAAAUGACAAUGCAUUUUGAGUCAGGGGGAAAAAAAAUUAAAAA